CGGACGGGCGGGUAAUGUCUGGGAAACUGCCUGAUGGAGGGGGAUAACUACUGGAAACGGUAGCUAAUACCGCAUAAUGUCUGCGGACCAAAGCGGGGGACCUCCGGGCCUCGCGCCAUCAGAUGAACCCAUAUGGGAUUAGCUAGUAGGUAAGGUAACGGCUUACCUAGGCGACGAUCCCUAGCUGGUCUGAGAGGAUGAUCAGCCACACUGGGACUGAGACACGGCCCAG
rnacentral:rRNA from 1 species